ensembl:snoRNA
UGCAGCCUUGUCAAAUUCAGUGCUUCCUCCUCAGUGGAUGCCACUGGCCAAAAUGGCUGCCACAGUGAAGGUGUAGUUCAUGGGCCCCGCAGUGUCCCAACGUGACCUCUGGGGAUAAAUAUGUACUACACACAGGU